GGGAACCGACACAACGUACUUUUCUUACAAAUCCUUCAAGUCGUACAAUUUACCUAUGCAAAAUUGCUAUUGUGAUCACAGAAAUAAUCUCAAGCUGCCCGUGCCAGUGUGGCUAGUGCCAAUAAUAUAAACAAGCUUUCGUUAACUGGUAGGGAUGCAACUACCUGAACAAUAUAAGGAGAAUUUCGACGUUGGGCCUUCGACGCUCAUUUUCUCCACAAAUUUGCUGAAACUAAAUAUCGGUCUUGGAGUAAACUGGCGUGGACAUGCCGACCCUGUCCACGUCCUGGCUGCUGUUAAGACUGAGAGGUUUCGAAGUAGGUUCGAAUUAAAUAACGUUUAUUUUGGUAUAACCGGGAAACGGACGUGAAGAAAAUGGCGGAAUGAACGUCGCAGGACUUGGGAUGUCUUGGACGGGAAACUCGUGUAUGACGGCCCGUCUGAUGGAAUGGACCUAUCCCCUAAUAAACAAGAUUUUGAUCUAGACAAGUCUAGACAAACAUUUCAUCACAGCUUGAAAGAGCAUCACAAAAUUAGUAAUAUUCCGAAGUUUCGUUGCGAAAUAUUGUAAAAUGCGGAUAAUAUAGCCCUG